AUAUCUCUCUGUACGGGAAGGAUGAGAAGCUUCGACUAAGGUUCGAUUCGAGCGCAGCGAGAAAGCGUUGCCGCAGGCAACGACCCGAAGGGCGAAGCGCGCAGCGCUGAGUAAUCCUUCCCCCAACACCA
rnacentral:sRNA from 1 species